UACGGAGGAUGCAAGCGUUAUCCGGAUUUAUUGGGCGUAAAGCGUCCGCAGGUGGUUUUCCAAGUCUGCUGUUAAAGCGCGAGGCUUAACCUCGUACAGGCAGUGGAAACUGGAUGACUAGAGUAUGGUAGGGGUAGCGGGAAUUCCCAGUGUAGCGGUGAAAUGCGUAGAUAUUGGGAAGAACACCAGCGGCGAAAGCGCGCUACUGGGCCAUUACUGACACUCAUGGACGAAAGCUAGGGGAGCAAACAGG
rnacentral:rRNA from 1 species